AGUGAACGCUGGCGGCGUGCUUAACACAUGCAAGUCGAACGAGAACGGGUUAUAGCUUGCUAUAAUUGUCAGCUAAGUGGCGCACGGGUGAGUAAUGUAUAGGUAAUAUGCCUCUUACUAAGGGAUAACAAAUGGAAACGUUUGCUAAUACCUUAUACUCCUUAUUAACAGAAGUUAAUAAGGGAAAGAUUUAUUGGUAAGAGAUUAGCCUGUAUUGUAUCAGUUAGUUGGUGGGGUAAUGGCUUACCAAGACUAUGACACAUAACUGGUUUGAGAGGAUGAUCAGUCACACUGGAACUGAGACACGGUCCAGACUCCUACGGGAGGCAGCAGUGGGGAAUAUUGCACAAUGGACGAAAGUCUGAUGCAGCAACGCCGCGUGGAGGAUGACACAUUUCGGUGCGCAAACUCCUUUUAUAUGAGAAGAUAAUGACGGUAUUAUAUGAAUAAGCACCGGCUAACUCCGUGCCAGCCGCCGCGGUAAGAC
rnacentral:rRNA from 1 species